CCCGCGCUGCUGAGACCUGCAAGUGCGGAAGCGACCUCUUUGUGACGUCAGCGUGACGGAAGCGACCUUUUUGUGACGUUGGCCUCUCUGGUGCCCCGCACAGUAGUCAGCACCUCCCAGUUCAGGCAGGAGGUGGGGCACCGUCCUCUCCGCGGUUUUCUGAGGCCUAAGAGCUCCAAGCCCUGCCCUUCAUGCCCUCUGCGCUAGACGUGUGGCCGCAGCCCACAGGAAGGAAUAAGACAAAGAUGCCUGCUUUUGCCACUUCUACUUAGAAUCAUUCUAGAAAUUCUAGCCAGACCAAUGAGGUCCCCCUUCUCCAGGGCUACUGCAGUUUGCUGGAGGUUCACUCCAGACCCUGUUCACCUGAGUAUCACCCAUGGAGACUGCAGAACAGCAAAGAUUGCUUGUUCCUCUGGAAGCUUUAUCCCAGAGGGGCACCCGCCUGAUGCCAGCUGGAGUUCUUCUGUAUGAGGUGUCUGUCAAUUCCUGUUGUACAGUCUCUCCCAGUCAGGAGGCAAAAGGGUCAGGGACUCACUUGAAGAGGCAGCCUGUCCUUUAGCAGAGCUGGUGCACUGUGCUGGGAGAAUCCCACUUGUCAGAAUCCACUGCUGUCUUUAGAGCCAGCAGAUAGGAAAGAUUAGGUCCACUUAAGCUCCAACCACAGGUGCUCUGUCCCAGGGAGAUGAGAGUUUUAUUUAUGAGCCCCUGACAGGGGCUGCUGCAUUUCCUGUGAAGGUGUCCUGUGCAGUGAGGAGGAAUCUAGAGAAGCAGUCUGGCCAUAGCAACUUUGCUCCACUGUGGUGAAUUCCAUUCAAUCCAGUCCUCUCAGUUGCCUUAGCACUGUGAAGGGAAAACUGCCUAUUAAAGCCUCAAUAAUGGCAGAUGCCCCUCCCCCAUCAAGUUCAGUUGUCUUAGGUUGCCUACAGACUGCUUUGCUGGCAGUGAGAAUUUCAAGCCGGUGGUUCUUAGCUUGUUGGGCUCCGUGGGAGUGGGACCCAAUGAGCUUCAGCUUGGUUCCCUGGCUUCAGCUCCCUUUCCAGGGGACUGGAUGGUUCUCCUGUCUUGCUGGAGUUCCAGGCACUGAUGAAGUAUGAAUAAAAUCUUGCAGGUAGCUCAGUGCUUGCCCAAACAACUGCUCAAUAAUGUGCUUGAAACCCAGGGUCCUGCUGGUGUAGGGUCAUGAGGGAGUCUCCUGAUCUGCAGAUUGCAAAAAUUCAUGGGAAAAUCAUAAUACCUGGAGCAGGUAACAGUCCCUCACCACUUCCCUUGGCUGCAGGGAGGACGGUUCCCCAGUUCCUUGCACUUCCUGAGUAAAGCAAUGCCCUACCCUGCUUCUUCUCGCCCUCUGUGGGCUGCACCCACCAUCUAACCAGUCUCAAUGAUAUGAACUGGGUAGCUCAGUUGGAAACAAAGAAAUCACCCACCUUCUGUGUUGGUCUUGCUGGGAGCUGCAGACCUGAGCUGUUCCUAUUCAGCCAUCUUGGCCCCUUCUCUGUUUUUUAGUUUUUAAUAAACUUUUCAUUUUAAAGUAGUUUUAUAUUUACAGAAAAGCUUUGAAAACAGUACAGAGUUCCCACAUACCUCACACUCAGUUUUCCCUAUAAUUAACAUUUUAUAUUAGUAUAGUACAUUUUGCACAAUUAAUGAGUGAAUUCAGUUAGGUUUUAUUAACUAAAAUACAUGCUGUAUUCAUGUAUUCUUGGUUUUCACUGCAUGUCCUUUUUCUGUCCCAGGACCCCACAUUAUAUUUUGCCAUCAUGUCGCCUUAGGCAUGUCUUGGCUGUGACAGUGUUGCAGUCUUUCUCUGCUUUUGAUGACUUGGAGACUUGUAAGGAGUACUGAUCAGGUAUUUUCUUGAGCAUCCCUCAGUUGGGAUUUAUCUGCCAUUCUUCUCGUGAUCAAACGGGUUGCAGGUUUUGCAGAGAAAGACCACAGAGGAAAAGUAUCAUUCUCAUCAUGUGACGUCAAGGGUGUACUCUGCCAGUUUUACUCACAACUGUUGAUGUUGACCUUGAUCACCUGGAUUUGGCAGCUUCUGUCAAGUUUCCCCACUGUAAAGGUAUCCUGUGUUCUCCUUUUCCUUAGGAUACUCUUUGGAAGGAAGCCACAAUGCACAGCCCACACAUACAGGGCUGGGAGUUACCUUCCACCUACUCGAAGGUGGAUUCUUCUGCCUGGAAGAGCUGUCUAUUGCCUCCCAUUGGUUUAUUUAUAAAUUAUUUGUUUAUUUCAGAAUGGACACAUAGUUAAUUAGUUUAUACUUUGAGUCAUAAUUCAAUACUUUCUUACUUAUUUUUCUUCUCAGUUUUCUCCAGCUUUGUCCAUUGGAGCUCUUUCAGUUAGCUCUUGUGUGUUUUGACAUUUUUCGAUCAUUGUUGGGGUAAUUCAACUAUUGCUUUCAUUAAGCUUCUGUCUAUAAUGGAGUCAUUGUGUUCCAACAUUAGGCAACAAGAGCAUAUGUUUCUUCUCAAACCGUGAGAGUUUAAACUCUUCUUGCAAGCAGUGAUGGAAUCAGACUGCACAGCUGUGAGUCAUCCAGCAGCAGGUGAAUGCAGAGAGCACCAUCAUUUCUUUAGUGGUAUUAAAGAUCAGCUGUCAGACGUGAAUCUCUCCCCCAAAUCAGGCUGGAUGUGCAAAGCACAAUGACAAUGUCCUAUGCCCAGGGACACCUGCACAGCAGAGGAGCAAUUGCAACAUGAUGCAUUUGCUGCUGGAACCUCUACUGAGGAAAGUAUCUGAGCCGUGGCCUUGGAGAAUGAAACGUGUCAACUGGUUCACAGAGACAAUUACAGACCACUGGAUUUCUGGAAACUUGGCUACUCUCACUGCCUCAGUCAAACAGAGGAAGUGGGUGUGAAGCAAAUUUGAAAAUCCCACCCCAUCCCUGCAGAACCACAAAUGUUUCUCCAUACACUGAAUACAAGCAGUGUUUUAGGUAGGGUCAGGAGUUUUCUCUUGGCCUGUGCAGAUGAGGAGAGGGUGAGCAGGAGAAUGAGAGACUCAGAGUCUUAGGUUGAGAGAGUGCUUUUGAGAUUGCUCUGGGACAAAAAGGAAAUUUCACUAGGUCUUCCAAUACUUUUGAAGGCAUCCCAUUCACUUGGUUAAUCUUCAACACAGUAUUCACUGACCACCAUUUCUGCCAGGCAUGCAUGAGAAUGCAGACUGCCCAGCCUGUGGGGAUGGCUACCACAGUGCCCUCCACAGAAGGCCUCACUGUGCUUGAAAAUGAACAGAUGGACUGCUGUGGAAAACAGCACGCAGUUCCUCAAAAAGCUAAAAAUAGAACUAGCAUAUGAUCUAGCAAUCCCACUUCUGGUAUAUUUUCAAAAGAAUUAAAAGCAAAGUGUCUAAGAGAUUUGCACAUCCACGUUCAUGGCAGCAUUAUUCACAGUAGCCGAGGCAUGGAAGCAACCCAAGUGUCCAUCCACGGAGGAAUGGACAAGCAAAGUAUGGCUUGUGGUUCCCUGCAGAUGAAGCUCCUGCUGGGGUUGCCACAAAACAGGUGGCAGGGGAAUUCCCAUGAGUGACUACCCCAAGCCAUCCCGAGAUGGGGAUGGUUGGAAUUUGGAAACAGGAAAAAAAAGCACUAAGUGUCAGCAUUUAUAAGGGGGACAUGCAUACAGAGGGCUUCGACAUCCUCAGGAUGGAGAGUAAGAAAAACGAUGUUCUACCAGGUAUGUCUGAAAACAGGUGUUUUUGCACACCAGCCUCAACAGCUUUAUCAUCAAUGCCUGAGAACAGUCAAGGCACCAGCCUGGGUACAAGCCUGCAAGGGAAACCUGCAGCUGCCCAGGCUUCAGAGGGGUCAAGGCCCCCAGUGUUUCUCAGGCAGGACAGAGAAAGAAGUGGAAAAAGUUGGGGGAGCCCACAUGCAUUCAUGCAAUAGCAUAUCAUUCAGCCUUAAAAAGGAAGGAGAUUCUGAUACACACCACGGCACGGAUGAACCUUGAAGGCAUCAUGCUGAGAGAAAGAAGCCAGACACAAAAACACAAAUACUGUUUGAUCCUUAGAUGAGAUACCUCCAGGAGUCACAUUCACAGAGACAAAAUGUACAAUGGUGGGUGCCAGUGGCUGGGGGGAGGAGGGAUAGGGAGCUAUCAUUUAGUGGGUUCAGAGUUUAAGUUUGGGAAUAUUAAAAAGUUUUGGAGAUGGAGAAUGGUGAUGGUUGCACAACCCUGUGAAUGUACUUCAUGCCCUGAAUUGCAUACUUGGAAAUGGCUAAGAUGGGAAAUGUCCUGUUACAUGUAGUUCACCACAAGAAAGAUGAAGGGAGGAAUGGGUGGAUGGAUGGCUGAAUGAGCACCACUCAGCCCCUGUGCCUUCCUGUGGGGCAUGCACUGGUCCUGGAAACACCUUCGUUUCUUUUGUGGAAGACCCUGGGGAGUUUACUGGAGUGCCAGAGGUAGAGGAACUCAACUACGGAGAAGAUGAGGCCUAAGCUAAUGAAGAAGGUUGCCAGGAAGAGGAAAGCAGCCACAAACGGAGCCCCUGCAAGCAGACGACAGCUGAACAGGCCAAGGAGGAUGGUAGCCCAGAUUCCUCACCUGACCUCAGGUGUCAAAAUUGGGUGGAUGGACGGCUGAGUGAAUACAUCCACACAUGACUGAAUAAACAGGAGAAUGAAUAACAUGGCAUGGGAGAAAGUCUACAGUCUGCAGAUUGAUGUGUCCCAGGGCAGUGAGAACAGGAGGUCCCAGGAAACCCCAGGGUGCACCCAGCCUGAGAUUUUCAAAAGAAAGAAUAAGGUUCAGUCCAUCUGAUUUUGAUCCCAUUCCAAGCAACUCCUCCAAACCAGGUAGAAAUCAGCAGUACAUUACAAGUGACCAUGCUCUCAAUCAUAGCAUUACCCACAACUGACCCAGGAGUUGUAACCCAACCUGAGAACUCAGGUGGCCAUCCACUUGGAGACCUGCACCCCAACCAGCUAUCUCCUCUGGACCUCUCCUGGCUUCACAGCAAGCAAAUGGGUUGCAGUAGCAUCACAGGGAAAAGGGAGUUUUAUGAGACACAAAUGAUAUGGUAAGUGUGAGAAUACUUUGUAAAAGAUCCAACAUUCUUAAUCAUGUAAACCAUCAUGUGUCAUAAUCAUUUUAUUAAUAAUUAAGUCAGUUGUCAUGCAAUUGGUUGAACUCCUCUCUGCCGAUUUUUUCCCAUUGGUUUGUAUUGAGGCUGGGAUAAAGAAACGAAGUAAAAUGUGUAUGAAUCCCAGAACUAGAAGCGCACACAUGACAGCCACCCUAAACAAGAGGAUGCUGUGAAAAAUGACUACUGUACAUUAGCAGUCAGCGCCAAUUCCUGGGAAAUAACUUAUGGAAAAAUAAGUGCUGGAAUGGAGUAUGCAGUAAAGUCUCCUGAAAUGAGAUAAUUCAUGCAAAGUACUCAGAACAGUGCUUGGCACAUAGUAAGUGUCCAAUAAAUGUUCAAUAUUAUUGUCGUAAAUAUUAAAGCCACUUUUAUACUCUAGAGGGAUCCUCUAUUUCCUUAUAUGACACUGAUCAUUCCUUUGGACAUUAAGUAACACUUUGGAGUGGCUUAGACUUGGUGUCUUUCACUUUUUUCAGCUGGUCUGGGUUUUUGCGUUAGGCCAGAGCUGAAUUCUAAACCCAGCUCCCAGGCUCACAAGCCCUGCCACUCUAGGGGAGUCGCUUAACACCAAUGAGCAUUUACUCCUGUGUGAAAGGAGAGUAAAUGCAGGCAGCUCUUCUCCAGAGCCCAAGGCUGCAGUCCACCAUCUGCUUCCUCUGCACAUCCACUGUGGACUCUUCUCUGCCAACCCAUCUUCCCAGCUUACCCCUUGUUACCACUUCCCAGGAUUUCCAGCCCAUCUAGGUUCUCAGCUCACCCCCAUCAGCACUUCCUGACCAUCACUCCUGAGACAGUUUCUCCCUCUGCCUCUGUGCAUGUGUUAGAGAUUCCUUCUGAGCCUCUGUGUAAGUGCUCUUGGAUCAUUGACUCCCCUGGAUACCAGCUGGACUUAACUGGGCACACAGGUGGCGUUUGGCAUGAACAUGGCCAUCCAGGGAAGAAAGGCUGCAGCCACAAGACAGAGAACUACAUCUACCUCACUCUUCACAGCCACGUCACUUCUGUUUCUCCUUCCCUUGGUGCCCUUCCCUGAAUUUCUGCCUUGGAGACUCCUACUUUUCUCUCAAAGCCCAGCUCUGAUGUGCCUUUUUCUUUGAAAUCUCCCGUGAAUUCCCCUCUCUGGUUGGAUGAAUGGAUGCAUCACCCUCUCUGUCACUCUCCAAUUCCUCCCACAAGACACGUGUGCUUGUGGUACCACAAUCGCGGGGAGGGGGAAACCACAUAUGUGUCUAUCGUGUAAUAAGUGAUUCCUGUCACUCGCGGGCUCCAGGCCACCCUGUGGAGGUCCCUGUCUUGCAUCACACAGCACUCCUGAGGGGCCAUGAAGCUUUAGGAGAGAAGAUAAAAACCCCAAAAACUCCAAGAGCGUGAACAGGAAGGAAAUAGCAUGAGAGUGCUGGCAACACGGAGAGAGAGAAACCCAAGAGAAUGAGGAAUGCUCAACACUAAAUUACCAGCUCUCCAGCUAAUAGCUAAUGCAGGCUACAAAUCAGGCAGCAUGCCAGGUACAUGGAAUUUUUCAAAUUGCUUUGUUCUGAAGGUACACAAAAUAUGAAAUAGGCCAUUUCCUCAAGGGCUCAUAUAGUCUAAUAUAUGAAGACCAAAAGAGAGUUUUGGCAAUAAUGUUGUUGAGGGCUGAAGGGACUGGGGUGAGCUACCCUGAGGGUCCAGGACCUAGCACACAGAGCUCUCUCUAACCUGCAGCACACAUUUGGCAUUGCUCCCUGAGCUUCUAUUUCUCUUCUGACACAUUGGGAGGAGACACUGAGUUCCCUGUCAUUAUCAAGCUUUGCCCAGCUCCUUGAAUGAUUAGAAUAGAGCUGGACAGAGAGGUGGGUUUCUGUGCCUCCCUUUUUAGUACUGUGAGGAUCUUCUUGAUCUGGCCUUUGGUGAGGCAGUGGGCAGUGUUCCCAGAUCCAGGAGUGAGAGUGCACAUGAAAGUCCACCUGGAGCUUUCCCAGGGUGUUGCCCACCCCAACCCAGCAAAGACCACAGGCCACCCAGUGAGAAGCCUGGGGACAAACACGGGGUCAUUUCCCCUACUUUGUUGGUUAUGGUCCCCAACAAUUACUGUGGGGUGUGAAUUACUAUGGUGAUAAACUGAACACUUGGAAACUGAGUUUAAAAGUCAUUGUAAGUUGACAAGCUCUUUAGUGGGACAACUAAAGUGCUUCUGCACAGUAAGGAAACUAUCAGCAGAAGAAACAGACAACCCACAGAAUGGAAGAAAAGAUUCAGAAACUCUGCAUCCAACAAAGGCCUAGUAUCCAGAAUCUAUAAGGAACUUAGAUAAAUCAACAAGCAAAAAAUCAAGUUGGCAAAAGGACAUGAACAGACAUUUCUCAAGACAUCCAAGUAGUCAAGAAAUGUGAAAAAAUGCUCAAUAUCACCAAUCACCAGAGAAAUGCAAAUCAAAACCACAAUGAGAUACCAUCUCAAACCAGUCAGCACUGUUUUAUAUAUAUAUAUAUGUUGGUGAGGUUGAGAAGGAGGGAAGCUUGAACACUUUUUAUACACUCGAUAGGUAUGUAAAUUAGUUUAGCCACUGUGAAGAGCAAUUUGGAGCUUUCAAAGAACUAUGAGUUUCAACCAAGCAAUACCUUUACUAGGUGUGUAUCCAAAGGAAAAUAAGUUGUUCUACCAAAAGACCCAUGCACCUAUAUGUUCACCACAACAGUAUUCACAAUAGCAAAAACAUGAAAUCAACCUAGGUGCCCAUCAAGGGUGGACUGUAUAAAGAAAAUGUGGUCCAUAUACACCAUGGAAUAUUAUGGCACCAUAACAAAGAACAAAAUCAUAUCCUUUGCAACAACAUGGAUAUAGUUAGAGGCCAUUAUCCUAAGCCAACUAAUGCAGGAAAAGAAAGCCAAAUACCACAUGUUCUCACUUAUAAGUGGGAGCUAAACAUUGAGUACACAUAGACACAAAGAACAACAG